AGAUUGAACGCUGGCGGAAUGCUUUACACAUGCAAGUCGAGCGGCAGCGCGGGGCGACCUGGCGGCGAGCGGCGAACGGGUGAGUAAUGCAUCGGAGCAUGUCCAUGUCGUGGGGGAUAGCCCGGCGAAAGCCGGAUUAAUACCGGCAUACGCCCGAGAGGGGAAAGUGGGGGACCGCAAGGCCUCGACGCGAUUGGGUGGCCGAUGUCCGAUUAGCUAGUUGGACGGGGUAAAGCCCACCAAGGCGAUGAUCGGUAGCUGGUCUGAGAGGAUGAUCAGGCCACGACGUGGGACUGGACGACCGACGGCCCAGACUCCGUACGGGAGGCAGGACAGGUACGGGAUUUGGACAAGUGGGGACAACCGUGACUCC
rnacentral:rRNA from 1 species